rnacentral:rRNA from 1 species
AGUGAACGCUGGCGGUAGGCCUAACACAUGCAAGUCGAACGGCAGCACAGUAAGAGCUUGCUCUUACGGGUGGCGAGUGGCGGACGGGUGAGGAAUACAUCGGAAUCUACUUUUUCGUGGGGGAUAACGUAGGGAAACUUACGCUAAUACCGCCUACGACCUACGGGUGAAAGCAGGGGAUCUUCGGACCUUGCGCGAUUGAAUGAGCCGAUGUCGGAUUAGCUAGUUGGCGGGGUAAAGGCCCACCAAGGCGACGAUCCGUAGCUGGUCUGAGAGGAUGAUCAGCCACACUGGAACUGAGACACGGUCCAGACUCCUACGGGAGGCAGCAGUGGGGAAUAUUGGACAAUGGGCGAAAGCCUGAUCCAGCCAUACCGCGUGGGUGAAGAAGGCCUUCGGGUUGUAAAGCCCUUUUGUUGGGAAAGAAAAGCAGCAGGUUAAUACCCCGCUGUUCUGACGGUACCCAAAGAAUAAGCACCGGCUAACUUCGUG